rnacentral:rRNA from 1 species
CUUUUACGAGAAGUGUUGUCCAAAGCUGGUGCCAGAAGACUCGGUAAGGCCAGAGACGCANGCGUUAAUCCUCUUGAUAAGGCGUAAAGGGUUUGUAGGCAGCUUUAAUAUAAUUAAAGAUUGAAUCAAAUAGAGGUCAAGAGAAUUCCUAGAUUAGGGUUGAUAUCUGUAUAAACUAGGAAGAAUUCUAAUUAGCGAAGGCACUUUACUAUCUAAUGAUUGACGCUGAGAAACGAAGGGGAGGAUCGACAAUAGGAUUAGAUACCCUGGCAUCCCUCUCUGUAAACUAUGAAUGGUAGUUGCUAGUAAUAAUAAUUAGUGACGAGGCUAACGCGUUAACCAUUCCGCCUUGUGAGUACGACUGCAAAGUUGAAAACAAAAAAAUUAGUCGGUUUCGGAGCAAACGAAGUGAAGCAUGUUAUUUAAUUCGAUAAUCCGC